rnacentral:tRNA from 1 species
GGGAGUAGAAGAGGCAAGGUGCCAGGGCUGGCUGUAAACCAGUCCACGGUUGGUUCGAUUCCAACUGCUCCCA